GUGGGGAAUUUUGGACAAUGGGGGCAACCCUGAUCCAGCCAUUCCGCGUGAGUGAAGAAGGCCUUCGGGUUGUAAAGCUCUUUCGGCAGGAACGAAACGGUGAGCUCUAACAUAGCUCGCUAAUGACGGUACCUGAAGAAGAAGCACCGGCUAACUACGUGCCAGCAGCCGCGGUAAUACGUAGGGUGCGAGCGUUAAUCGGAAUUACUGGGCGUAAAGCGUGCGCAGGCGGUUGUGUAAGACAGGUGUGAAAUCCCCGGGCUUAACCUGGGAACUGCGCUUGUGAGUGCACGGCUAGAGUAUGGCAGAGGGGGGUGGAAUUCCACGUGUAGCAGUGAAAUGCGUAGAGAUGUGGAGGAACACCGAUGGCGAAGGCAGCCCCCUGGGCCAAUACUGACGCUCAUGCACGAAAGCGUGGGGAGCAAACAGGAUUAGAUACCCCGGUAGUCC
rnacentral:rRNA from 1 species